UAAGACGUAGGGGGCGAGCGUUGUCCGGAUUUAUUGGGCGUAAAGCGUGCGUAGGCGGCUGCGCAAGUCGGGUGUGAAACCCCGGGGCUCAACCCCGGAACUGCAUCCGAUACUGCGUGGCUAGAGGUAGGUAGGGGAGAUCGGAAUUCCUGGUGUAGCGGUGAAAUGCGCAGAUAUCAGGAGGAACACCGAUGGCGAAGGCAGGUCUCUGGGCCGAUACUGACGCUGAGGAGCGAAAGCGUGGGGAGCGAACAGGAUUAGAUACCCUGGUAGUCCACGCUGUAAACGUUGGGCGCUAGGUGUGGGGGACCUCUCCGGUCUUCUGCGCCGCAGCUAACGCAUUAAGCGCCCCGCCUGGGGAGUACGGCCGCAAGGCUA
rnacentral:rRNA from 1 species